AUUCAGCUGACCAGUCCGAAAUAAGACGAAAUGCGCAUCCUGGAU
rnacentral:hammerhead_ribozyme from 1 species